GUGGAUUAGAUACCCUGGUAGUCCACGCCCUAAACGAUGUCAACUAGGUGUUGGGAGGGUUAAACCUUUUAGUACCGCAGCUAACGCGUGAAGUUGACCGCCUGGGGAGUACGGCCGCAAGGUUAAAACUCAAAGGAAUUGACGGGGACCCGCACAAGCGGUGGAUGAUGUGGAUUAAUUCGAUGCAACGCGAAAAACCGUACCUACCCUUGACAUGUCAGGAAUCCUGCUGAGAGGUGGGAGUGCCCGAAAGGGAGCCUGAACACAGGUGCUGCACGGCCGUCGCCAACU
rnacentral:rRNA from 1 species